rnacentral:lncRNA from 1 species
GCACGUCGUGCUGCGUCGGGGAGUACUUGAACACGAUCGCGUCACCGGGGUGGAACUUCUUGGACGACACCCAGCUGCCGUAGUCGGUUCUCAGGUCCCAUGCGCCGCCCGGCUCCCCGACGUUGUAGGUCGCCGCCGAUGCGGUGCCCAGGACGGCCAUUGCGGCCAAGGCAAGGAGGGUGAUUCUCAUGGCAGCCAUUUAUGCGAUCGAUCGGUCGGAAGGAAGGAAGGAGCAGUGCAAGCAGAGGAGAAUGCGGUAGAGAUUGUUGAUCCUAAGCCGGGUUUUGUGUUAAUUGCUUCUGUAUGUGUUCGUGCCCUGCGUUUAUAUAUACUCCUAGCCUGGGUUGUUUAAACACGAGCCAUGCGCGCGGUAGGUAGAGACGUAGAAUGGUCUUUGGAUUUUGGAGUUGAAAUAUCGUGUGGAUUGGUACUUGAGCACAAGCAGCUUGGUCUUUCACUACGUAUCAAACUGGGUAGGAGUAGUAUUUUGGAUUUUGCGUGUGAAAAGUCGUCCAGAGUUGGCUUGUACUUGGUCAUACAGCGACUGAGCGACGUAUCAAACUGAAAUGAAGAUCUGAAGACUGGGCUCAGUUGGUUGGCCUACUGAGUUCUUCACGCGUCGCGUCCAUUUUACUUUGAUGUCGACGCGGUCAACGCUACAACUGAACGCCCGGUAGACUAUCACGUUAUGCAAUUGCGAUCGACACCUUUCAACUAAAAUCUUCCACAUCAAAGGUUCCACAUUUGAAUGUUAACUUGUCCGGAAUAGCAACAAAAUAAAACUUCUCUGAAAUUUCCAGCUUAUUUCAAGAAUUUCACAAUUUUCUUACCAAUAUAAUCAUUUUCAAUUUUCAACGGAGAAAAUCAACAAUUUCCGGCUUAAAAGGUAAAUGGUAUUUAAACUGCAGAGCCAACACUCCAAUUAGAAAAUAUUCAGUUGCUUUCAACAGAAUGAACUAUAAUUUCAACCAAUAUUAUUUGAAGAAAAUACGAGAAAGUUACAUAUCUAGAGGAAGAAAGGAGGCACAUGAUGCAGAAAAGGUAGAGAAAAAAGAGGAGGGUGUAAAGGUUUACCUCCAAAAAGCGUCAUCGAGCGGACGGUAGAGUUGUUGUUGGGGAAGGAGGGACGGGACAAUGACGUUAGAUCUAGGAGGCGUGGUAGCGGUAUUGGUAGAUUGCGGAUCGGGAAAAAAAUGGGAAGGGUGAGGCCAUGAGCACCCAUCUAAGCACUGGAAGGACCAUCCGCGUCGCUCCUGGGGGCGGCUCAGGCGGAAACCCUAGCCGCCGCCCAACCCGAACGGCUUCCCUUUCCCCUAGCCGUCGCCGGAAGAUGCUAGCGGGCUACGGCGGCAGGGCUUUCCCGUGCUGCUUCGCUUCAGAUCUUGUGGAGGCGCGCGGGGGCCGCGGCUGGCGGCGGGUGGGGGCUGCGGCAGGGCUGUGGCUGUGGUGGCCGGCAUGCGGGGGCUGCGGCAGGGCUGCGGCUGCCGGUGCUCUCGGGCAGCGGGGCUUGCGAAAGCCGGGGCGGCGGCUCCGGUAGCGGGACGGCGGUGCCCCUGCCGGCGUGGUCUCCGGGAGGCAGAGGCGACGGCGGGAUCUGACACUGGCGGGUGUGCGGAGCGUUGGUGGCCAGGUGUGGUGGCGGGAUCUGCAGCUGGGCGCCGGUGUGGCGCGGGAUCUGCCCGUGGUGCGCUGGUGGCCUGUCUCGCGGUGGAGUUGGGUCUGGCGGUGGCCGGAUUGAGGUGUGCGCUGCUCGUGCUGCGGGGCUGCUUUGUCGCCGGCCUGGCCAGCCUUAAUUGGCGGACGGCGGGGAUUUUUGGGAGGCCUCCCUGAUUGCUGAUCUCGAGCAGUCGGUGCGUCCCCCUGCCCUCGCACGAGGCUUCAGCACGCAUGCUUCUGGCUGGCGUGGCUGUGGCAGUGGAUGCCGAGACGGCGGUCCCGGGAAGUGGCCAUGGUAGUCUUUGCAGUGGAUUUGGCGUGUGGGCGUGAAUUUUGCGAAGCCUUGCUUUGGCAGAGGAAGGAUGUCGAGGCGGCGGCCUCGGAAGGGGGUCAAGGUGGUUUGCUGCGUGGGGCAUGGUUGGGUAUCGGACGCCGGAGCGGCGGCUCCGGGAUGCUUCGGUCCUCGGACGGUCAGAUGAGAAGAGAUUUGCAGGGCUCUUGAGGCGUGCCUCACUUCCACCUUUGUCGGGUCGGCCCAAUUCUGCUCCUCUCAUAACACAAUUGGUUUCUCUCCCCUUUAAAGGGCGGUAGUGUGUGCGGUUGGGUGGUGGUGCACUGGCAAAGGUUCAUCAUGCUCCUUCGGAGCCUGUCGAGGCCAUUCAGCCCCUUUCUGGUGAGUCAUCCGGAUCUGGCUUGCUAGUGGGGGGGUGUGAUGUGGUUGCUCGAUGUGGCGGGGAUCUUCUUCAGCUACUUCCAUUCGUUUGUUGGUGUGUAGGUGGUGCGUUUUUUCUUGUCGUCUCGGUCUCUGUCGACCGUUGGGGGCUUCGUCCCCUUUGUAUCUGGUUUUCUCCCGAUUUUUCCUAAUUAACUGGACAACUCUUUCUUCUAUAAUGCAAUGCAGGAGCUCCCUGCCCCUUUUGAGGUGUCCUAAAAAAAAAAAGGCCAUGAGACCACAACUACUGAUUUAGUGGAUGCCUCAGCACCAAUGUAAGGGCGCCAACCUAGUGUAUGCAAGCGGGAGAUAGGGCCAGCCUGUUGUCGUAGGCUUUGAGACGAUGAUUCUCAAAGCCUCUCUACAGGGUAUAGCGUCAGCACCAACGGCAUCGUAUAGGCUUUUACAAAACCAUGGGGGCAGGCGUCGAGAUGUGCCCCGCUGGACACGAAUGGUCAGUUGCAGGUCAACGGCGACAUCGCAAAGCCACCAUUUAGUAUAAGGAUGGUACAAAGAUGGCAUUGAGACUAAAGAUUAGAAAUAAAAUGAAAUUGAAGUACCAUCUUUUGCAGUAGCGACAUGUUGACAUUGACGAGCAGACAGAUAGUCAGGGGCAGACCAACGCCUAGGGCAACCUGGGCUAUAACCCUGGGCUUGGAACCAAAUAAUAUGUAUAUCUACUAUAGAAAUAAUCAAAAAUAUUAAUCUUAGUACAUAAUACCUCUGUUUAGUCAUGGACUUGGGUGCUCAGCCCUGGGCUCAAGGAAAUCCUUGGUCCGCCACUGCAGAUAGGUAACAUAGCAACUGAUAUUUAGACCACUUGUUUAUUGUUGUUUGUUGUUUAACGUAUGUUUUUCUAAUCUUGUAGUUUGUCAUCACGAUUCACAAGCUGGUUAGUACUCCGUCUGUGAUUUUUGUUGUUGUCAUUGCAUGAAUGUUUUUUAAUCUUGUAGUUAGUCAUCGCGAUUCACAAGCUGGUUACUACUUCGUCUGUGAUUUCUCCAAAUAUCACCGAUUCUUGAAACCGGGUCGGCGGAUUGGCAACCAUUCGUGGUUAGGUAGUCUAUCAUAUAAGUAUUAUAUGGACAAAAAUGCCAGUUCCAUUACAGAUUGAUAGGCAUGAGUCACCCCAACUGUAACGUGGGAGUCUACUUCGAAAGCGACAAUGCAGAGGGUUUUUUCUUUAUCCCGAAAAAAAUGAAGUAGCUAUGUGUACUAGAAAUUAUGUGCAACCUUUUUAGCAGGAAAUUAUGUGUAACUUGAUCGACUUAGAAUUUAUAAAUAGCAAAUCUCCUUUAUUCAUCCUCCAAAAAUCAAUGUACACAAGAUCAAAUACACACAACGGUAAAAACUACUAAAUGACUAUGUGUCUAUGACUCUAUGUAUAAGCACAUAUGUGCGCGUGUAGGUAACAUCAAACCAGAGAAAGCAUCAAGCCAUGAGACCGGCGAGCAGGACGGCGGCGAGGCCGAAGCCUGCGGUGGCUCCAAUAGAGGUAGCGGCAG